rnacentral:rRNA from 1 species
AAUACGUUCCCGGGCCUUGUACACACCGCCCGUCAAGCCAUGGAAGUCAGGGAGACCUGAAGCCGGUGACCGUCAAAGGAGCCGUCUAGGGUAAAACUUGGUAACUGGGGCU